AUAUUCCUCUCUCCGUCUGGAAAUACUUGUCGCAGAAAUGUAUAAAAAUGGAUGUAUCUAAAACUAAAAUAUGUCUAGAUACAUCCAUUCCUCGGACAAGUAUUUUGGGACCGAGAGAGUAAUAC
rfam:Triticum aestivum genome assembly, contig: Triticum_aestivum_CS42_TGACv1_scaffold_433524_5DL